rnacentral:rRNA from 1 species
UACGUAGGGAGCAAGCGUUGUCCGGAUUUACUGGGUGUAAAGGGUGAGUAGGCGGCUUUGCAAGUCAGAAGUGAAAUCCAUGGGCUUAACCCAUGAACUGCUUUUGAAACUGCAGAGCUUGAGUGGAGUAGAGGUAGGCGGAAUUCCCGGUGUAGCGGUGAAAUGCGUAGAGAUCGGGAGGAGCACCAGUGGCGAAGGCGGCCUGCUGGACUGAAACUGACGCUGAGGCACGAAAGCGUGGGGAGCGAACAGG